CCCUCUUUCAUUGCCCACGCUCUUAAAACUAUCAUGUGAAUAAUGUCAAACUAGCCUACAGGUGUGGAUAAGAGACCAGAUGGAAGAGAAUUAAGAUGCCUUGACUCAUAGUCUUGCCAGUCGCUGGACACAGUGAGGUCACCCUAUAUCAUUCAAACACCAGCCAUUUACCAGCUGACCAUGAAUACGUGAGACAGCACAGCCCAGCACCCAGGAUGGGUCAGGUCAGAAGCACAGAACCAAUCAACAGAAUACUGAAGUAAAUGAAAGGGAACCUGAGAACUCAAAUUCUGGUUUCUACGUCUGAGAGACAGGACCAAUGGAAAUUUCCCCAAUUAUGGAAAUGCUGUUCAAGAGGUGAUCAUUAAUAUGACAAAUGCCAGUUACAGUAACCAGCUACUACUGUUAGACUCACUCUUCCUGUUGUGCUUACCCAUUAUGACUUUUUUAAGCCACCUUUGCUUUUGCUUCAUUUCCAGGGCAGCCUCUCACAGCUGGAAGUUUGUCUCCUUUCCUGUUCUCUUGAGUAAAUCUAAUGCAUGAUAUUAGUAUAAGCAAGGAAUAUAGGGAAUACCAGCAAACAGCUAUUAAUAAGUGUGAAAUAGAGUUUUAUUCUCUGAAUUUAGACUCUAAUUUAGACUCAGUCAUAAGACUGAGCAUUGAUGCUCUUUGGUUUUGAAAAUUAUCCCACCUUUAGAAAGGAUUCCUUCUUUGGCCUCAGGCCAGAAUUAAUGGUGUGAAGAGAGCACAGCAUUAAGAAAGAGCCCAGCUCCACAAUGCUGGUGUUGGUCUCUACUUUUGCCAGCAGUGGGCCUACCACACCUGUUAUUAAAAGAAGUGCUAAGGCAGCAGAGCAAGCAGCAACAGAGACAACAUCAGCAGGAAAACCCCAACUGCCAGGAAGAGCAUAUAAUUAUCUCUGCCCUCUAGAGCACAAUUUCUUAACCAAGGAUUGUUGAAAAAUACACACGCUGAGUCCCACUCUGUCCAAGGUACUGAUUUGGUAGGUCUGAGCUAGUGUUUAGGCACCUAUAAUUUAUAACCAUACAAACAAAUAAAUGUUUCACAUGAAUCUGA